rnacentral:rRNA from 1 species
AUGACUAUAGCCCUUGGUAGAAUUCCUAAAGAAGAAAAUGAUCUAUUUGAUACUAUGGAUGACUGGUUACGAAGGGACCGUUUCGUUUUUGUAGGAUGGUCUGGCCUAUUGCUCUUUCCUUGUGCUUAUUUCGCUUUAGGGGGUUGGUUUACAGGGACAACUUUUGUAACUUCUUGGUAUACCCAUGGAUUGGCUAGUUCCUAUUUGGAAGCUUGUAAUUUCUUAACCGCAGCAGUUUCUACCCCUGCCAAUAGUUUAGCACACUCUUUGUUGCUACUAUGGGGGCCCGAAGCACAAGGAGAUUUUACUCGUUGGUGUCAAUUAGGCGGUCUAUGGACUUUUGUAGCUCUCCACGGGGCUUUUGCACUAAUAGGUUUCAUGUUACGCCAAUUUGAACUUGCUCGGCCUGUUCAAUUGCGGCCUUAUAAUGCAAUCUCAUUCUCUGGUCCAAUUGUUGUUUUUGUUUCUGUAUUCCUUAUUUAUCCACUGGGGCAAUCUGGUUGGUUCUUUGCGCCGAGUUUUGGCGUAGCAGCGAUAUUUCGAUUCAUCCUUUUCUUCCAAGGAUUUCAUAAUUGGACGUUGAACCCAUUUCAUAUGAUGGGAGUUGCCGGAGUAUUAGGUGCGGCUCUGCUAUGCGCUAUUCAUGGAGCGACCGUAGAAAACACUCUAUUUGAGGACGGUGAUGGUGCAAAUACCUUCCGUGCUUUUAACCCAACUCAAGCUGAAGAAACUUAUUCCAUGGUCACUGCUAACCGCUUUUGGUCCCAAAUCUUUGGUGUCGCUUUUUCCAAUAAACGUUGGUUACAUUUCUUUAUGCUAUUUGUACCCGUCACCGGUUUAUGGAUGAGUGCUAUUGGCGUAGUUGGCUUGGCUCUGAACUUAUGUGCCUAUGACUUUGUUUCCCAGGAAAUCCGUGCAGCGUUAGAUCCUGAAUUUGAGACUUUCUACACCAAAAAUAUUCUUUUAAACGAGGGUAUUCGUGCGUGGAUGGCAGCUCAGGAUCAGCCUCAUGAAAAUCUUAUAUUCCCUGAGGAGGUUCUACCACGUGGAAACGCUCUUUAA